CAACAAGUUUUGUUGCCACUUUUCAAGAUAUAUUAACAUCGAAAACUCGACUUUACGCCAAAAAAAUCGAUUUCUGGACCACAGUUCACUGCGAGUAUUCUUACUCGAACCAAUUCCCACACAAAUAAUGGCGUGCAAGUCGGAGCCGAGGACCAGCAGCAGCGCAGUGGAGCAACUGGUGGAGUGCAAAAAUAGGAAUAUAGGAAUUGCAGAAGGCGGGAUACUUGGCCGCCGAAUGCGAACACAAUGCCCGAGAACCGGCGAUACGGUCUGGUGAUAACAAACCAGAGUUCGGACGCGGACGUUGUGGACACCUUUGCCCUAAUUGUAAACGCCAACCGACGCCGAUGCGUAGAAUGCCGCGCUGUUCUUCUUACUUAUGACGGGGAUUUCAUCUGGCGCUGCUGUUUGCCACCAUAGGCUUCAUACCUCAACCUUAGCUAACAUUGUGCAUACAUGGUACAUACAUAAUACUGUGGGCCUUACCGAGUAUCUAUCCGCAGACGUUCGACUCCAGCAUGCUAGUGGUCUGCGAGGAUGAGGAAACCGCCCAAUGGGUCAUCUCAGCCG
rnacentral:misc_RNA from 1 species